rnacentral:rRNA from 1 species
CCUACGGGGGGCUGCAGUGGGGAAUAUUGGACAAUGGGGGGAACCCUGAUCCAGCCAUGCCGCGUGUGUGAAGAAGGCCCUCGGGUUGUAAAGCACUUUCAGUGAGGAAGAACGCCUGGUGGUUAAUACCCAUCAGGAAAGACAUCACUCACAGAAGAAGCACCGGCUAACUCCGUGCCAGCAGCCGCGGUAAUACGGAGGGUGCGAGCGUUAAUCGGAAUUACUGGGCGUAAAGCGCGCGUAGGUGGCUUGAUAAGCCGGUUGUGAAAGCCCCGGGCUCAACCUGGGAACGGCAUCCGGAACUGUCAAGCUAGAGUGCAGGAGAGGAAGGUAGAAUUCCCGGUGUAGCGGUGAAAUGCGUAGAGAUCUGGAGGAAUACCAGUGGCGAAGGCGGCCUUCUGGAAUGACACUGACACUGAGGUGCGAAAGCGUGGGUAGCAAACAGGAUUAGAUACCCUAGUAGUC